GACGUAGGGUGCAAGCGUUGUCCGGAAUUAUUGGGCGUAAAGAGCUCGUAGGCGGUCUGUCGCGUCUGCUGUGAAAACUCGGGGCUUAACCCCGGGCCUGCAGUGGGUACGGGCAGACUAGAGUGCGGUAGGGGAGACUGGAAUUCCUGGUGUAGCGGUGAAAUGCGCAGAUAUCAGGAGGAACACCGGUGGCGAAGGCGGGUCUCUGGGCCGUAACUGACGCUGAGGAGCGAAAGCAUGGGGAGCGAACAGG
rnacentral:rRNA from 1 species